GAUGAACGCUGGCGGCGUGCCUAAUACAUGCAAGUCGAACGAGACUUCUUUAUCACCGAGUGCUUGCACUCACCGAUAAAGAGUUGAGUGGCGAACGGGUGAGUAACACGUGGGCAACCUGCCCAAAAGAGGGGGAUAACACUUGGAAACAGGUGCUAAUACCGCAUAACCAUAGUUACCGCAUGGUAACUAUGUAAAAGGUGGCUAUACUACCGCUUUUGGAUGGGCCCGCGGCGCAUUAGCUAGUUGGUAGGGUAAAGGCUUACCAAGGCUAUGAUGCGUAGCCGAAUUGAGAGGUUGAUCGGCCACAUUGGGACUGAGACACGGCCCAAACUCCUACGGGAGGCAGCAGUAGGGAAUCUUCCACAAUGGGCGAAAGCCUGAUGGAGCAACGCCGCGUGGGUGAAGAAGGUCUUCGGAUCGUAAAACCCUGUUGUUAGAGAAGAAAGUGCGUGAGAGUAACUGUUCACGUUUCGACGGUAUCUAACCAGAAAGCCACGGCUAACUACGUG
rnacentral:rRNA from 1 species